rnacentral:rRNA from 1 species
GUGCCAGCCGCCGCGGUAACACGGGGGGAGCAAGCGUUGUUCGGAUUUACUGGGCGUAAAGCGCGUGUAGGCGGUCAGGUAAGUGGGAUGUGAAAUGCCCCGGCUCACCCGGGGACCUGCAUCCCAAACUGCUUGGCUUGAGUAUGGGAGAGGAUGAGGGAAUUCCUGGUGUAGCGGUGAAAUGCGUAGAUAUCAGGAGGAACACCGGUGGCGAAAGCGCUCAUCUGGCCCAAUACUGACGCUGCAGCGCGAAAGCUAGGGGAGCAAACGGGAUUAGAUACCCUCGUAGUCC